rnacentral:lncRNA from 1 species
GGGUGAUGUAUUUACAUUUUAGGGUCUCAAUUCAGAGAUGAAAGCAUUAAAUAGUCCUGACUGAUCACAGUUCAUACUGAUAGAAAAUCAGAAAAAUACUUGGUAUGAAACAUGUAGUAGUGAAUCAGACCCAAAGCUUGUUGUUUUGCGUCAAGAUAUAAUGCCAAAAACAAACUGUAUUUCAUUUCAAUAUUGAAAACAUCAAACUCAGUAAAUAACUGCAUGUGUAGGUUUCUCCAUAAUUGAGGAUAUGUCUGGAUAGAAUUCCUAGGCUGAUGUAAAGUAGCUGUCAAAUUUUGUUAGUUUAGCUAACGUUGGUGGAAACCUGACCUUGCAAGUGGCCCAUGCGUUUGCACUGGGGGAAAUGAACUUAAGAAACUUUACCAGUGACUUGUCUGUUAAAGCACAUAACCAUUUGAUUACAUUUGCAGGUGCAAUUGAUGAGCCAUCAAAAUGUACUUCCUAUUUGGUGGUGCAGAUUUUCAUCUUCUGUUACCUUCAAGGUGCAAACACAGGGCUUGGUCUGAAGCUCAUUUAAAAUUCAAUUCAUUCUUUCAGCUUGUCAGGCUAAGCAAUCCUGAUAGUGGAGCAGCAGGCUGCUCUGCUUCCUCUGGAAGACAGUAUUUUAUAUGCUUCAAGGCAAUGUUAAGGUGCAUUAUAAUGAACUUCUCUUGAGUAUUCCUUUCCUAGGUUUACCUCAGACUGAUUACAGUCUGACAAGCAGUCAUCUGUCCAGUUCAAGAACUGAAUAAUGAAAUGUCUUGCUGACUUCUUUGAUCUCUCUUUUGUGGCCUGCAUUUGGCAGCUUAAUUUAUGUGUAUUGCUUUCCAUCAGCAUUGUUUUGACUGUGAACUUUCAUGUUUUUCUGUCAUUACUGCUUUAACUCUUGGAACCCUAACCAUUCUGCCCUUACUACUUUUCUUGAAAUUUUCACCUUCUUGGAUCUUCUCCUUUUCUUCACUGAAAAGAUACUAAAUUUCUUCACUGUUUUUGCUCAUAAAGCAGUAGAUACCUCCAAAAUACAUCCUCCUGGCUUUGCUGCACCCUUUCUCAGUAGGAUGAACAAAUUUCCUGAUGCUGAAAUACAUACUGUACUAUUAUACCUGUUUUUUUUUUUAAGCCAUUUGGAAUGGCUGGCAAGACAGCCCAGGAACCUCACUCAUUCAUGAUGGAACUUGAGCAAAACACUGAUGUGCUGAAGUGUCACUCAUUUCAUGUGGCAAAAUGAAACAUUCAGGCAAAAUACUUAUCUUGACGCUUAAGAGGAGCUGAAUGAUCCAAAGUGGGAGCCAUUCUCUGGGCAAUGCUGCAUAAUUUAAGAGUGGGUAAAUAUGCCUUCAGGGACAACAGAACACAGAACAGAUGUUUGAAAAAAACAAACAAACAAACAAAAAAACAACCCAGAAGAAGCCUUGAAGCUUUGUCCACUCAUGCACUUACUCUUCCCUGGAAAAAUGUACAGGUACAUUCAGAUGUGUUAGUGAGUUAUAGAUCAGAUAUCACAAAGGCCUUUAAGGGUGAAUGUUUUAAAGGCAGUCUCCUUUGGACAGAAAAUAAAGGAAGUUGUCUCUGUCUUCCAGUUCCGAAGUACAGCAUCGUAUUUCUGAUCCUAACCCUAAAUCAAUAAUUAUUGAUCAAACUGACUAAGCUUUUUAGGUUGAUGAGCUCUCUACAAAGCAUUUCUGUUCUCCUCUUGAGCCUCUGCAGGGGCCAACAACUGGUGCUUAACUACUACUUCUACUGCAGAAGGUCACCUGUCCUCCAGCUGUCUCAGAACCUUCUGGGACACUUGCACUUCUAAGAGAGCAACACUGCUAUGGGGGUAAUUCUCAAAAGUGCUAAAUACAGUGGAGCAAAUCCCCGUGGGCUGUACACUUUCUUAAGUCCUGCCCAGGUCUUAGUGGCAAAGUUGAGCAUGAAACCUGUACUGCCAAAAAUACCUGCCCCUUAAGAAGAAAGACAUCUGAAGGUGACUUUGAGGAAAGGAUGAUGUCUUCCACAUUCAACUCAUAAGCUUAAAAACAAACAAACAAAAGCAAGGAAAAAAAAAAAAGCUGCGCUUCCACUAAAAAUCACCACCACUCUUAUCAAUUCAAACAACCGCUGUUAAUUCGGGCUAAAAUAUCUCCCCUGUGUAGCCCAAACUACCACCAUCACCAUCUGAAGAAUUUUUAAACAAAGACUCACCUGGAGACAGAUCUCUGCUAAGAGAGUACAUACUGCAAGGAAGACAGGUAAUCUGGCAAUGCAGUAUGAUGUUACUUUUCUAAUGACAAUUACUCCAGGACAAGGAAAAGACUGAGGCAGGGCUUUGGGGCAGUGUUUCAUGCUCAGCAAGCUUGCAGAGGGAAGGAAUGCAAUUCUAUGAAUCACUUGUACUGUAUUUCUGUUUCUAGACUUGAAUGAAUUUCACUUUUCCUUUGUGGGUCAGCAUAGUAAACAUUAAUGAAAAGGUCUAUUUUUAUAAAUCUCUUUCACCAGUUGAGAGGGCUGACCUGCAGCCACCAGAUAGACUUAUUUAUCCAUAGAGGACAGAAUGUUUAUUUUUACACUAAGAUUACUUACAGCAUUGAAUAAAACAAGGCCUUUGAUCUAAAUCUUAAUAGUAUCACCAAAUUGCAGAAGUAUGUAUGGUGGACAGUUCCAUGUUUCUUCCCAGUAAGUCUCUCAAAAGAAGUUACUCAGAAAUAAACUUCCAAAUGAAGUACAAGAGAUCCUUGUGAUCUAACUACAGGAAAUUUACGAACCAGGAGAAAACUCAAUAAAGUGAGCUAGAUCUCACUAGCUAAAAAAACCUGCAAAUGUAAAGUAAAUGGAAUGUUCUUGGGAUAUUGAGUUGCUUCCUCACGUGAUGCUGUACCCGGUACAUCUGGCUUCAUUUGGCUUCUGUGUUGUGGUUUAUAUGCCAGCCACUGUUAUAAAAACUGUACACAACACCUAUAUUUGCACUGUAAUCUUAAUUCAUUUGCCACUGAUUGUAACCCAAUGCUACAGACUUCUCUGUAUAUAAAACCAUAACCAUGUCCCACUUGCUUUCAAUAGCAUACAAUAAAGGCUUAUAUCUCUAUACUUACUUAUGACUUAUUUGGGUUUUUUAAUUUUAUUUUUGUUUGCAGCGAGGGAACGGGCUUUAAGGUUUUUUGAAGCCUGGGAAGCCAAACCCAUAUGUCUGUUCUGCUUCAGUCAGGUAACAGGCACAGCAGAAAGUUAAGAUAGGCUUCCCAGGCUGCAGUCUUAGCAGAGGUGGCUAUUAAGGAAGCUGCAUUUUGGGCGAUGGAAACAUAAAGUACAUUUACACUGUAA